rnacentral:rRNA from 1 species
UACGUAGGGUGCAAGCGUUGUCCGGAAUUAUUGGGCGUAAAGAGCUCGUAGGCGGUCUGUCGCGUCGGAUGUGAAAAUCCAGGGCUCAACCCUGGACCUGCAUUCGAUACGGGCAGACUAGAGUUCGGCAGGGGGAGACUGGAAUUCCUGGUGUAGCGGUGAAAUGCGCAGAUAUCAGGAGGAACACCGGUGGCGAAGGCGGCGAUCUGGGGUAGAUACUGACGCUGAGGUGCGAAAGCGUGGGGAGCAAACAGG